rnacentral:lncRNA from 10 species
AGCGCUUAUUUGUUCCAUUUAUUUGGGGGAAGAGUCGCUAAGAUUUCAGAGAUUCGUAACUAGCUUGUGCGCGGUAUCUGAUUUUCACUUUGGCAUUUGGAGGUGCUUUUGAAGGUGGUUUAUGUUACCUUUCCAAGACUUACCUGAUGAGAGACCUGCCAGACUGAGCCGCUUCCAUCAGCCAGACAUGAGAAUAAGGGUAUUUAGGCUCCAGGCUUGUCUGACUGAUCAGAGGAAUGGAUCAAUAGCCCUCAUUCAUUCUACUAUCUCUUUCUGGAAUCACAACUUAGGUUUCACUGGAAAUACAUCAUGGGACCGGGCCCCUCAUGAAGCUUACAUUCUGGAACUUAAGAGCCUCCAUCUCGCUGGUCUCUUGUUUCUUAAAGUGUGGACCCCAGGCCAGCAUCAUCAGCAUCCUCUGGGAGCUGGCUGGGAAUGCAGCAUCUUAGCCGCAAGUCCCACUGAGUCUGCAUUUUCACAAGACCCCCAGUGAUUCAUUCACACUGGAGAAGCACUGCUGGAGUUGCUAUAUGAUUUAGGGAAUCAUUUUCUUCUCUACUUCCCUUCUACCCGAAAUAUAUACCAUCUCACUGAGUUUUGAAGCAGAGUUCCUUUUUUUCUGUUUUGAGACGGAGCCUCACUGUGUGUCCCAGGCUGGAGUACAGUGGUGGGAUCUCAGCUCACUGUAAUCUCUACAUCCCCAGUUCAAGCUAUCCUCCCACCUCAGCCUCCCAAGUAGCUGGGAUUAUAAGCCUGUGCCACCACACCUCGCUAAAUUUUAUAUAUUUUUUUUUUAAUAGAGACAGGGUUUCACCAUGUUGGCCAGGCUGGUCUUGAACUCCUGACCUCAAGUGAUUCACCCACCUCAGCCUCCCAAAAAGUACUGGGAUAACAGGCGUGAGCCUCCUUGCCUGGACCCUUCUUCUUUUUUUUUUUUUUAAAGAAAAUAUAUAUUUUUUCUUUUACCUUGGUC